GGGAACGCCGGGCAGGCGGCGGCGGUAAAACGGGGGGUGCAAGGAGUAAUCGGAAGUAUUGGGCGUACAGCGAAGGCAGGCGGUUGGAUAAGUUAGAUGUGGAAGCCCCGGGCUCAACCUGGGAAUUGCAUUUAAAACGGGCCAGCUAGAGUCGUGUAGAGGGGGGUAGAAUUCCAGGUGUAGCGGUGAAAUGCGUAGAGAUCUGGAGGAAUACCGGUGGCGAAGGCGGCCCCCUGGACAAAGACUGACGCUCAGGUGCGAAAGCGUGGGGAGCAAACAGGAUUAGAUACCCCAGUAGUC
rnacentral:rRNA from 1 species